rnacentral:rRNA from 1 species
GAUGAACGCUGGCGGCGUGCCUAAUACAUGCAAGUCGAGCGAACAGACGAGGCGCUUGCUCCUCUGACGUUAGCGGAGGACGGGUGAGUAACACGUGGAUAACCUACCUAUAAGUCUGGGAUCACUUCGGGAAACCGGCGCUAAUACCGGAUAAUCUAUUGAACCGCAUGGUUCAAUAGUGAAAGACGGUUUUGCUGUCACUUAUAGAUGGAUCCGCGCCGCAUUAGCUAGUUGGUAAGGUAACGGCUUACCAAGGCAACGAUGCGUAGCCGAACUGAGAGGCGGGUCGGCGACACUGGAACUGGGACACGGUCCAGAGUCCUACGGGAGGCAGCAGUAGGGAAUCUGCGGCAAAGGGCGAAAGCAUUGCGGAGCGACGCCGCGUGAGUGAUGAAGGUCUUCGGAGCGGAAAACUCUGUUUUUGGUGAAAAACAAAUGUGUAAUGAAACAUGCACGGCGUGACGGUACCGAAUCAGAAAGCCACGGCUAACUACGUG